GACGAACGCUGGCGGCGUGCCUAAUACAUGCAAGUCUAAGGGGGUUCAUCGCCUUCGGGCGAUGGAUCACUGGCGCACGGGUGAGUAACACGUAAGUCAUCUCGCCCCCGGGUCUGGCAUAACCCGCCGAAAGGCGGACUAAUUCCAGAUGACGUGGCAACAUCAAAGCCUGUGAGCAAUCACGGGUGCCCGGGGAUGAGCUUGCGUCUGAUUAGCAGUUGGCAGGGUAAUGGCCUACCAAGGCGACGAUCAGUAGCCGGUCUGAGAGGAUGA
rnacentral:rRNA from 1 species